GUCCUGAUAGUUCAGUCGGUAGAACAUCAGACCUCUAAUCUGAGGUUCCAGGGUUCAAGUCCCUGUCCGGGAGA